ensembl:lncRNA
CAGACGGUCAGCAUCGGUUUUACCAGCCUUUUCUGAAUAAAUUUCCUGUUCUGAGUUCUGUGUGAAACAAAGAGCAGAUCAAUGCUGUGAGAACAGCAGCGAACUGUGACUUCCUGUCUUUUGUUCCCCAGAUAACGACUGGUCAGCGAUGCUAAUAGGUGUUAAUUCUUCUUCUGGUCUUCCAGCUGUGGCAUCACAGGAAGGCGACAGUCACCAGAACAAAAGCUGCAGCUCAGCUUUUUCUUUCCCACCAGCAGCUCUGACGGUGACAAACAUCUUUGCUGUGAAGUGAAAAUACCGAAGUUUCUAAUCUCCGAGAAACAUCUGGAGCGUUACAUCUCCUUCGCUCCCACUGCUCCCAAACCUCCCAGUAUUGAACCAGAUAAAUGGAAUUGUUGCAUGUCUCACAAAUUCUCCUGGUGAUUAUCUAAGCAUCUAAAUAAGGUAUUUUAUGACAGCAACGAUGAUGUCAAAAUGUGCCGUUUCCCUGAAAAAAGAAUAGUCUAUUGUUCACAGCCAGAGAGAAGGAACAAUUAGAAGGAAAACAGCUGGACCAGGUCUCCAGGACCAGUCUAGAAAGUCCGGAGGUGUCAGUGACCGAAGGCCUUCAAUGACCACCGUGGUGCCUUCAAUGACCCUCGUGGUGUAUUCAAACACAGAUUUGUAGAGGAAAGUUUUUUAGGAAUAUUGUCCCCCCCACCCCCCUCAACUUGGAUUAUGUGGGAAUAAUCUUGGCAGGAAAAGGAGACCCCCCCACCACCACCAUUGCUCCUCCUCCUCAUUUCUCUUUCUUUCUUUUUUUCUUUCUUUCUCUCCAAGUUCAUUCCCAGCUCAGUCAUUGAGGGCAUCACACCUCCUCUCUGCCCUUCUUUCAUCCAUCCAUUCCCUUUCUCAUCAUGUCUUCUCUCACUUUUCUGUCUGUUUAUCUAAGCGGAAUCUCACUGUUCCUGCAACUGACUGCUGGUUUCCAGCUUCAGAGUGAAGACGUCACUCCCACUCCCGACUAUGACUCUGACUACAAGGCCACCUUUGAUUACAGCUUCUUCAGUAACGCCAGCAGUGAAGACUUGGACAAGUUCAGUGAACAAUUUGAGGACAUCACCGUUACCAUGGCAACCACUCCAGAAACAACAGAAAGGGGCAGGAUUAAUGUUCACAAUGCUGCACCACAUCCAGAGUUUCUGGAGGUCCGAACGCUUCUCUGGACUCUCUUGGUGCUGAUCACACAACAGCUGCAACACACACUCUAGGAGCAGCACCGGGUCAGCGGGUCAGGAGAAUUUAGGAGGAGUCAUCUUAAGGAAGCUUCUCUCUGAUUGGCUCCUUUCUCUUUUUUGUUUGAUCCUGAACCAAUCAGUGAGGCUCACCUGUUCCGAAGUGGGCGGGGCCACCGGCAGGUGUCCAGCUGGACAAGCCACACAGCUUCACGCGCAGCACAGUUCACCACGGCAACGUUUGGCACUGAAUCACUUUUUCUUCUAACCAAUCAGUUUCUGCCUCCUCUGGAUUAGUGGAUCUGGUGGAUUAACAUGGACGCUCAUUCACGCUAAAGAAAAGUUAGAGAGAAAAGAAAAGGAAGUAUUUUCAUGUGUAUGAAAUAAAUCUGAUCUUUGCACAUGAAUCUGACCUGAAAUCAGAAAUCUGUGAGAAGGCAGCGCUGUUUAUUACACACAAGCUGAUCUUUUAUUACCUUUACUCCAGUAAAUUAGCUUGGAUUCAGCUCUGUAGUUAACUUAUUUGUAAAAGCGUAUUGUUACACUUCUGUUCGACAUCAUAGUCAAUAAUGAAACAGUCAUAUUUAAGAGUUUCAAUCUUCGAUGUUUGAGGUUUAAACCUGUGAAAUUGCUGUUAAACUGUUCACCACUGACUCACAUGGAUGCUGCCAGUAACCGAACGUCUGAGGACCCUGGAAUAACGAUCCAUCAAUCAAUCAGCCAAUCGACUUCUGCUGCAGUUCAUCAAUAUCCAAUGAGUUUCCAGGAAAUAAUCAAACAAGCACUUUAUCUUUGCCUUUCACAAUAAAAUCUAUUAAAAGUUCUGAAUCAUUUUCUCCUUUUAACCAAUACAUUUACUUUCUCUGACCCAUUAGAACCAGUCCCCUGACCCUCUCUGACCCAGUAGAACCAGUCUCCUGACCCUCUCUGACCCAGUAGAACCAGUCCCCUGACCCUCUCUGACCCAGUAGAACCAGUCUCCUGAC